rnacentral:rRNA from 1 species
GGAAACGGGUGGUAAUGCCGGAUGCUCCGACUCCUCGCAUGGGGUGUCGGGAAAGAUUAUAUCGGUAUGGGAUGGGGUCGCGUCCUAUCAGGUAGUCGGCGGGGUAACGGCCCACCGAGCCUACGACGGGUAGCCGGCCUGAGAGGGCGACCGGCCACAUUGGGACUGAGAUACGGCCCAGACUCCUACGGGAGGCAGCAGUGGGGAAUAUUGCACAAUGGGCGCAAGCCUGAUGCAGCGACGCCGCGUGCGGGAUGACGGCCUUCGGGUUGUAAACCGCUUUUGAUCGGGAGCAAGCCUUCGGGUGAGUGUACCUUUCGAAUAAGCACCGGCUAACUACGUGCCAGCAGCCGCGGUAAUACGUAGGGUGCAAGCGUUAUCCGGAAUUAUUGGGCGUAAAGGGCUCGUAGGCGGUUCGUCGCGUCCGGUGUGAAAGUCCAUCGCUUAACGGUGGAUCUGCGCCGGGUACGGGCGGGCUGGAGUGCGGUAGGGGAGACUGGAAUUCCCGGUGUAACGGUGGAAUGUGUAGAUAUCGGGAAG